rfam:TPA: Bos taurus chromosome 6, whole genome shotgun sequence.
CCCCUGGUGGCUAAGGUGGUAAAGAAUCUGCCUGCAAUGCAGGAGACCUGGGUUCGAUCCCCGGGUUAAGGAA